rnacentral:rRNA from 1 species
AGAGUUUGAUCAUGGCUCAGGAUGAACGCUAGCGGCAGGCCUAAUACAUGCAAGUCGAACGAGCCUUGUUCUUUCGGGAACUUGGUUAGUGGCGCACGGGUGCGUAACGCGUAUGCAACCUACCUUCCACUGGGGGAUAGCCCCGGGAAACCGGGAUUAAUACCGCAUGACACUGUUUGAGGGCAUCCGAAGACAGUCAAAGCUGAGGCGGUGGAAGAUGGGCAUGCGUGCCAUUAGCUAGUUGGUAGGGUAAUGGCCUACCAAGGCGACGAUGGCUAGGGGUUCUGAGAGGAUGGUCCCCCACACUGUUACUGAGACACGGACCAGACUCCUACGGGAGGCAGCAGUAGGGAAUAUUGGGCAAUGGCCGAGAGGCUGACCCAGCCAUGCCGCGUGCAGGAAGAAGGCCUUCUGGGUUGUAAACUGCUUUUAUCAGGGAAGAAAACGCUCCUGCGGGAGUAACUGACGGUACCUGAUGAAUAAGCACCGGCUAACUCCGUGCCAGCAGCCGCGGUAAUACGGAGGGUGCAAGCGUUGUCCGGAUUUAUUGGGUUUAAAGGGUGCGUAGGCGGCCCGUUAAGUCAGUGGUGAAAUCCCAGGGCUCAACCCUGGAACUGCCAUUGAUACUGGCGGGCUUGAGUUCGGUCGAGGCGGGCGGAACUGGUGGUGUAGCGGUGAAAUGCAUAGAUACCACCAAGAACCCCGAUUGCGUAGGCAGCUCGCUAGGCCGAAACUGACGCUGAGGCACGAAAGCGUGGGGAGCGAACAGGAUUAGAUACCCUGGUAGUCCACGCCGUAAACGAUGAGUACUCGAUGUUGGCGAUACACAGCCAGCGUCCAAGCGAAAGCGUUAAGUACUCCACCCUGGGGGAGUACGCCCCGCAAGGGUGAAACUCAAAUGAAUUGACGG